rnacentral:rRNA from 1 species
CCUACGGGUGACAGCAGUGAGGAAUAUUGGUCAAUGGCCGAAAGUCUGAACCAGCCAAGUAGCGUGAAGGAUGACUGCCCUAAGGAUUGUAAACUUCUUUUAUCAAGGAAUAAAACGAGGCACGUGUGCCUUUUUGCAUGUACUUUAUGAAUAAGGAUCGGCUAACUCCGUGCCAGCAGCCGCGGUAAUACGGAGGAUCCGAGCGUUAUCCGGAUUUAUUGGGUUUAAAGGGAGCGUAGAUGGGUUGUUAAGUCAGUUGUGAAAGUGUGCGGCUCAACCGGACAAGUGCAAUUGAUACUGGCAGUCUUGAGAACAGGUGAGGUAGGCGGAAUGCGUGGUGUAGCGGUGAAAUGCUUAGAUAUCACGAAGAACCCCGAUUGCGAAGGCAGCUUACUAAAC